AUACAUCAAUCCAGGAGCCAAAGCCCGGUUUUAGAGAUUUAAAGCUGUUAAAUAGCAUGUAGACCAUCCCUCUCGUUUUAUGGAUGCAGAAACUGAGACCUAUAGCAACUUCAGUGAAGGUCAAAGCUGUAAGAUUUGUCUUCUUACCUUAUAAAAGCAACCCUGCCUCCAUGACAGGGGUAUUAAUAUCUUUAUGCUGCACCUUAAAUUGUUUCAGAGUCUGCUCCCUCAGAAAACUCAACCUGUGACGGAUUCUGCUACAUGGGGCUUCUGCUCUGCCAUUCCUCCCUAACUUCACCUUGUCAUGCUAAUGCCCAAGGCAAGAGAAGUAGAGAUACCCUGCUGGAAAGAGCCCUCAGAAAUAUGAGGUGUUGCUUUUCACACGUGUCAUCCAGAUCUGCAGGGGAAAUGUUUCCAUAUUCAUCUUCAGAGACUGCUUCUUGGAAGGAAAGCAUACCCUCUGAUUUUAAGAAACAUGAUCAAUAUAUUUCUCUUCAUGGUGUAGAAGAUAUCACAGCAAAUUAUGUGUCAUCGGGGGCUGAUUUCUAAGUUUACUGAGACAUCGUGGAAACUCCUAUAGUGAAUGGUGGUAAACGUCCAAGGAAAUCACAGAUAAGUGUGGCAGGGAUAGCUCUUCUGUCAACCUCUCUGUCACGGCCCCGACACUUGCUCAUGUGGAAAUGUUCCUAGGACAGGGGUACGUCUUACAUGGCUACCUGUUUGUAAAACCACACGCAAACACUACAGCUUCAUUAAUGAAAGAGGAAUAAUUGGGAGAUCACCUUGAGAUUUCAAAGUGAACAUCUGGUUUGGAACAUUUGUAAUUUUUUUUCUUUUUUUUUGGCUUCCAAGGAGAUCCUCACAUGGAAUAUCAAGAUGGGGUUAUAAUUGAGACCUUCCCUGCUGACAUUGUAACUGCCUUUCAUUGCUCGAGCACAAAUAAUUACUUAGAAAACAGCGGGUGGUCUGCUUAAAAAAUUCAAAUCAAUGAUCUAAGGUAUUUUUACACAUCCUUUGCUAUAGACUUUUCUUUCCAUCCUGGAUCAAGUGGCCACUCUUCAAAGAAUCCAUUAGCAUGGUGAACACUCCGAAAGCUGUUUUCUAUAGAUGCAUUCACCUUCAUUUCUCCUUUCUUUCUCUACUUGCUGAAGAUUGAUCUUGUGCCUUCCCUAAAGCCACCUACAUCUGAAGUAUAUGGAGCUCUAUGCUUUUAUUUAUACAGUUAUUUCAUCCAAAGAUCCAAUCAUGAACUUAGUGACUCGUUGUGUUUGCCUGUUUUCAUCACAGGGAGACAGAGAAGAAAAGCUCAAAUGUUUGCUGAGAGACAAGCAGAAACUUAGAACUUAGUACAUCAAGUGGGAUUUAGAUGUAAUUCCAAAUUCCAGUUAUGUCUCAAAAUUGAUUUUUCUACUCAUUGUAGCUGAAUCUGUCUUUUUUAUUUUCUGUCCUGCCCUCUACAAAAGCCCACAAAUUUUUGUUAUAUGGAAAGCUACUAUUAUCAGAGUAAUAUCAUGGAUUAUACACAAGGGAAAACUUACCUUAAUGUAACACAUUUUUAAAGGACAUCAGAAAUACGCAGAACCAGUGGGAAGGCUAGAAGACGAAUCAUGGACAUAGAGGAACCUAUUCAUAUCCUGCCCUUUUUUCAAGAUGCAAAGUCCUGGGAAAGAAGAAUCAACUGCCUGAAUUUCAGGCUUAUGCCAACCAUCAUGUUUACCUGGGUGAUAAGAAAAUGAUUAGCAUAAGGUACCUCAAAGGAGUCCUUGGGCAUGAUAGAGUAUCUCAAAGAGGUUCCUCAACUAAGUCAUAGAACAGAGAAAAUGAUUUAUAUGGCUAUUUUCUUAAUUCUUUUAUGAAUAGUGUACUACUAUUACUAUUCUACAUGCCUAGAGGGAGAAAUAAUUAUGUACAAUAGAUGCUUAGGCAUCAAAAUGAUUCUUUCUGAAACCCAGUUGACUCCAAAGACAUCUUAAAUUACUAGCCUGCUAAGACUGCAUUCAAGAGAGGAGAUACACUUCAAAAGCAAAUCAGGAUGAUUAUAAAGUAGAAGCUGAGCAGCCCCCCAAAUCACAUUUCUUCUGCACUACAUAUACAGUAAGUUUUUUGGCACUCACAAGACAGAAUUUUCCAAAGUGUUUUACAUGGAAUAUUAAUACCCUGAAGCCACUAAUAGGUAUUUCUAGACAAAGUUGUUUGUAGAAAAAAGGUUAGGAAAUACUCUAUACUAUAAUCCUUUUCUGGGAGAUUAAGAAUAUGAAAAUCUCUAAGAAGUGCUGCAAUAAAUAGUCAAGAGAUCUGCUUAACUAUGUUUCC
rnacentral:lncRNA from 1 species